UCUUAGCCCUGAUGGAAAUGGAAAGCCACGAGGAGCAAAAUAACAUUUUUUUCUGGUCUUAAAAAGCGACCAGCGGAAGCUCUUUUAAGGCCUUGAAAAAAAGUUAUUUUGCUCCUCGUGCUUGUAAUGAACAGCAGGAAUAGAC
rnacentral:sRNA from 1 species